AGCGGAGAUAAGCGGGUUUAUCCUCCUGCAGGGUGAGUGAUCUCCAGGCAGCACUGCCUCUCCGCGCUGGCGCCGAUUCGACAGCAGGUUAUAUAUGACAUCACUGCUUGGCUACUGAAGAAUCUAUUCAAAAUGGGGAAUGCCCCAUCAGAAAGUGACAUGGGCAACCGGCUGAGAUGCUGCAAGUGUGGUAAAGUCUUGCCUCCAUGCUACAACUUCUCAGAUUAUGACAAAAAUACUAUUCACGGGCGAUUUGUGUAUGUUUACAAUGGAGGAGUAUAUUACAGACCAGUUGGCGUUGAUAAUGCAUACGAGUGUGAACACUGCUUUAAUCAGCCAAUCAGGGAUGAAGAAAGAAGAAGAGAAGACGAGAGACGGAGAGAAGAAGAGAGGAGGAGAGAAGAGGAGAGACGGAGAGAAGAAGAGAGGAGGAGAGAAGAGGAGAGACGGAGAGAAGAGGAGAAGAGGAGAGAGGCUGAAGAGAAGAAGAGACGAGAAGAAGAACUGAAUCAAAGACUUGAAGAGUCACACCAGCAAGCUCAAACUCAGCACGAGAAACAACUGAGCAGCCACUUUUCAGAGGAAGAAGAGUCCAAGCAUCAAGUUCUAAAAAGCCGUCUGGGUGAGUUUGAGACAAACUGUGAAUCAGGCCGUGACGGUGAUGAGCUCCUAGAAAUCCUCUCAUCAAAAUGCAGCAUCCCGGUUCCAAACCUCACUCUCGAUCAGCUGAGUGCUGAUCAGCUGGAGAACAUCCUGUCAGCCCUGGACAAACUCCUGUUUGACGAAUGGGUCAGUGCUCCUCCAUCCCUUAGCACUCUGCAGCAUGCUCAGGUGUUCAUCACAGAACUGUGUGCCCUGUCUCUGGAAAGAGCUGAGGGACCUUCCCUGCAAAGCAUCUUCAAUCAGGUGCAGUGCCUGGUGGAGUCCAUCAGCCAAUCAGCAUGUAACAUUUCUGAGAGUUUCCUGCUGACUCAAGCCCUGUACCUAAACCUCAUGCACUUCAUCUCUGACCACGGCAGCUUUGACACGGAUGCUGCUCUCAUAGCCAAACGAUGGGCUGGGGAGGACCUUUCCACUCAAGAUCUUUGUCUUAUAGAAUUCCUGGGCACCCUCACAUUGUCACUACAGCAUGUGGUUGGAAGAGCCUCCGUGUUCAUUUUAAAGAUGGAAAUCCAAUGUUUGGAGCAUCUGCUCUUCACACUCACACAUCUAAAUGGCAAGAAAAGCCACUCAGAAUCCACCGAGGUGCUUCUCAGACUUGUGAAAACAAACCAAUGGACUCCAGUAGAGGCAGUGACUCUACUCAAAGUGUUAUUAGAGAAAUAUGCAGAGGAUGCCCCAGUCACUGAAGUGCUCACAUUGGUACAAAUGAAUGAUGCAUCACCAGGAUGGACGGAUGACUCCAGACACUCUCUCAUCCAGGCUCUGGAUUCUGUUGGCCCUGAGAGAUUCCCACAGCAUUUCCAAAGGACUCUCAGAAAGCAAGAUAAGAGUAGUCUAGAUUCAGCUUUAGCAGAAUUGAAAACACUCAGGAAUUUAGACGAUUCUGUGAUUGAUAUGAUAAAUAACAUUAUCACUGGUGUCUUGCAAUAUUCAGAAAAUGCACCAAAAGAUGAACCAUUCAUGAAAGAUUCCUUUGAAUUUGCAAACCUCAAUGCAGAUGAUAUCAAAAACUUUCUGUCUCAGCUCUGCAAAGCAGUUUUUGACACAAAGUGCUGGUGGCCCACAGUGCAACACAUGCUGAGAUGGUGUGUGUUGGUGCUGACCGAGAAGAGCCAGGCAUCAGAACUGGUUGGUGUGGAUGAGGAUCCGUGUGUCACAGCCAUGUUUGUGGCCACACAAGUCUGCAUGGGAAACAAACUGGACAUUGUGCUAAGCUCUGACGUUCACUCACAUGAGCAAAUUAAGGAGUGGGCUGACUUCUACAAGCACCUUGGAAUUUCUCUUAACACAAACAUGAAUAAAAGCAGUGUGUCACAGAGGGAAAUCUAUGAAGCUGACAUUGUGUAUGGUACCAUGGAUGACUUUGUCUCAGACUACUUUCAGUAUGGAUUAGAGAUGAUGGAAACCGUGUAUCCUCACCUUAGCCGAGGAUUUAUCAUUGCUGAAAGAAGUCUCAGCACCUCCUACAAUCUGGAACUUUCAAAGCUCCAGGAAAUUGAUGCCCUGGUGUCUGCUAGAGAGACCCUGCAAAGCCUCAUGGAUAAUUUUCAAAGUGAGAAUAUUGAACUGAGACACAUUUUUAUUAAGGCUCUUUUUCAGGUACUCCACACUAAUCUAACCAAAUGCACAGAUGCUGACAAUAAAAUCCCAGCCAUCUUGCAAAAAUGUACCAGAAAAGAACUGCCUUCUAAUGAGGUGUACAUUCUGACCUUUCUUGAGAAUAUCUUUCAAGUGUUUGCUGGAGAAAUAGAAAGAGAGAAAGACAGGGCAUCUCUGGCAGGAAAAUUGUGUUUGGAGGUUUUAUUUGCCUGUGCAGUGCAAUUCCAAGCCCCAAAUGAACAAGCUAAAGAAGUCUUCCAGAAGGUGUCAAAUCUUGUGGCACACGAACUUUGGUCACCAGUAGAAGCCUUAAACCUCCUUGUAGCAUUAACUGACCACCAUCUCAAUGAAGACUGUAUUUCCAUUAUGAAGAUUCUACAUCUGAUGGAAACAUAUCAGGUAUCUUCUGGGUGGACAGAUGAGAAGAACCAGUCUCUCCUUCAGCUCUUGAACUCAUCAAAAACUGAAAAAUUGAUUCAGUAUUUAAAAAAGAGCUUCAGAAAUGAAAAAGAAAAAAACAUUGAGUGUCUUUUUAAUGAAAUACGGCAGAUGAAAAACAUUGAUGAACAAAUGCUGGAGAAAUCAUACUGUAUAGUAAAGAAUGUUACAAACAUGAUUAAAUCUGGGGAGAUCAAAAACCACACAGGCGUACAUCAAGCUAGGAAUCUGAGUCAUAGCACAGACACACUAGACCUUCAGGAAGUCCUGGCAGUAUUAUGCAAUGCUGUACACCAGUGUAAUGCUAAAGGGAAGUGGUGGCCCAGAGCCACUCAAUUGAUUAGCUGGUGCCUCCUGGCCUUGUCUGACACUGGAAAGCUCCUGGGGAUGGGAACUGGAGAAGGGAAGUCUUGCGUCAUAGCAAUGUUUGCAGCGCUGCGUGCACUUAGGGGUGAAAAAGUAGACGUGUUGUCCAGCUCUUCUGUGUUAUGUCAAAGAGAUGCACAAGAAUGGAACAGCUUCUACUCAUACUUUGGCAUCACAGCUGACACAAACACAGACAAAACUGAAGACAAAGCUAGAAAAGACUGCUACCAGAAAGACGUGGUCUACGGAACAAUCGAAGCCUUUGCUGCAGAUCACCUACGUCAGAUAUUUGAGAUGAAGGAUGUGAGGCCCGAUCGCAGCUAUCAGUGUAUCAUAAUCGAUGAAGUGGACUCACUGCUGCUGGAUCAGGGAGUGCAGCUAACCUACCUUUCCAGCCCCAUGGUCUCCAUGCAGCACCUGAACAUUAUUCUGGCCAUGAUCUGGGGCCUUGUCAGCCAGUAUGGCUUCCUGUCAACAGGACAACAGACAUUUGUACAGGGUCCCCCUGCUUCAUUCUUCAAGGCCAUAUUUGACUCCAUUGACACAGAAGAAACUGAAAUUAAUGACCCAAUGGAUAUUUUAUACAUUGCUGAAGAAUUAAAGAUUGUGCCACAAGGAUUUACGGAGGAUCUCUUCAAAUGUGAACAAGAUGAAUUUCUCAAAAAACUGAAAACUGUGAGUCAGGAUAAAAUGGUAGAUUUUUUCCAAAAAAUCGAAGACUAUGUCCCCUAUGGAUUUACUGUAUACACUUUAGAUGAGAAAGGAUUGCUCUGUCUCACAAAGCCCAACACGUACAACAACCAGGACAUUCCAGACCUUACAUUUCUCGUUUUGGAGGAAGGCUUGUGUUGUACUCUGUAUGAUUCUGAAGAAAUUCUCAGCAAGCCCAUUGCAGAAUUAAUCUCAGAGAAGAUUCAGUACACCCCAUGUACAAAUGAGAAAAACAAGAUCAGCAUCCCUGGAUUCCUGAGAAAACUCAUAGAGAAGAAAUUGCCAGUGUGGGUUCAGAAUGCCUUUCUAGCAAAGAGACUGAGGGAGGGACGGGAAUAUGUUGUAGAAAAUGACAGCGUCUGUCCAGUGGACUUCACAUCCACUGGUAUUGUAGAACUGAGUAAGAAAUGGGGUGAUGGUCUACAACAGUUUGUUGAGAUCAAACACCAAAUCAAACUGAGCACAAUUUCAACAGUGACCAACUACAUUUCUAACAUUUGCUUUUUUGAAAAAUACCAUGGACAAAUAUAUGGAACAACAGGGACACUUGGGAGUGAGACAGAAAUGCUGUUUUUGCAGGACCUGUAUCCAAAUCUCUCAGCCUGCAAAAUACCAGCUUUCAACCGUAAGAAAUUAUUUGAGGUUAAAGGUACUCUGAAGACCUCCACGGAAGAGUGGAAAUCUGAACUAAAACAUGCAGUUAUGGCUGAAAUUACCCCAAAUUCAUACAGAGGUGGAAGAGCAGCCUUGGUAAUCUGUGAAACUAUCAACACAGCUGAAGACAUCUGUGAAGAGCUGAGAGGCAUCAUCCCAGGUAAUAUUAUUCUCUACUGCCGCAGUGACAAAGAGAGUUUGGGGAAAAAACUGCUUCCUGGUGAUGUCAUCAUUGCCACAAACCUUGCUGGCCGUGGAACAGACAUAAAAGUCUCCAAAGAGGUAAACAAAAAUGGAGGAUUAUUUGUUAUCCUCUCUUUCCUUUCUGAGAACACAAGAGUGGAACUCCAGGCUUUUGGCCGAACUGCACGCAAAGGUGAUCCUGGCUCUGCUCAGGUAAUCAUGACCACUGAUCAUCUGCAGGAGGCCUUCAGGACAGUGUCUUCUCUGGAGGAGGCAAAGAAAAGAAGGGAUAGACUUGAAGCAGAAAAGAUUCCCCACAUGAUGAAUGAUGUCACUGAGAUGAAACUGCGGGAGGACCUGUUUUCAAAGUACUGUAAAACCCUUCAGGAUAUUCACAGGAACACAGACGAAGAUGAAAAAAGAGCUGUUGUUGCCAUCUUAAAUGAGUUCUGGGGAAUUUGGUUGCAAACCAAAUCAGAAGAAAUUGACCAGUUGAAAAGAAAUGAAUUGCUGAAAAGCUUAACAACUGAUUUAUCUCUGGCAAAAAGUCAGUCUCAAAAUCAGACUUCACCAUGUUCUAGCAUUUACCACUACAUCAAGUUUGGGAAUAUCGCACUGGAUAGAAAACGAUGGGAUAUAAGUGCCAAGCUAUUUGAAAAAGCUAUAAAACAAGAUGAAAGCUGGGCUUCUAUAGCUUUUUACAGUCAUUCAUUCUGCACUAUAAAGCAACAGAAGGGAGAUUACCUCACUACGGCCAUAGAUGAUCUCAGGAAAGCACAGGAGUCUCUGAAAUACCUUGCCGAGGAAUGCAUGGCCUGCCUGCAGUUUGUAAAAAUGUCUUCUGCCGACUCAGCCAACAGUAACCCAACCAGCCUUGAAAAACAGUUGACAACCAGGUGCAGCAUGUUGGGUUACUUUGGUCAAAACAUCAGUGACGCUGUUAAGAAGCUUCAGGAGAUCAAAGAAAGAGGGAGGGAUGCAAUAGUCAAGAAAUCACCCAUGUUCUCCCUGGUCUCAAGUGCUGAUGAAGAUCUCCAAGUGGAGGCCUACAAUCUGUACAGUCAAGGUCUGAAAUAUGUCUUUUCUGUUGAAGAGGAGCCUCGUUUCCCAUGGGAAGCUCUGCUGGUGUUCUGUCUCGGAGUUUUGCAGAUUAUUGGAGGGGCACUGCUCACUGCAUUUACCUUUGGAACAUUUGCCCAAGUUGGCAUCGGGCUGAUCACCGAAGGAAUAUCAGACUGCAUCUUUGGCAUCGAGUCCAUGGCGACAGGAGAAUUCAGUUGGAAAUCAUGGGCUACAGAAAAAGCCAUUUCUAUUGGUGUAUCUCUAAUUGGGUUUGGAGUUGGAAAGCUGAUUGCAAAGGGCUUCAAAGCUUCUAAGCUGGCAGUUAAGGGAUUCGGCAAACAAUUGAAGUCAAUGCCAAAGUUUCUCUCCAGACAGGCUAAAGAUGGCCUCAGUGUUGUUGCAAAAACAAACAUGAAGAAUGCAGUGAAACACACUGCAAAAAAAAUAGUACAGGAAACUAUUAUCUAUGGAUUUAGCAAGGCAGAAGAAGAAUUACUGACAAAAAUACUUAAUAUCAUUAAAGAUGAAGUUAAAAAGAAGAUUGUUGAUAAUGUGAACCAUAACCUGCACACAGAGCCCUUGGCUACAUUAAUAGACUCCAUUAUACUUUCACACCUUGAGGAUAAACAACAAUUGUCUGACCUCCUGCAGGACAAGAACAGAAAGAGCAAUCUUCUCUCCAUUUUCAGAGAGUUGAGCAACACUGCAUUACAACCAUUCCUUGCAGAUCUCAGCUGGCAGAACAAGCUUAACUCAUCCAUCUACAAAGUGUUUGAGAGGGCUAAAUCUGAGGCCAAAGGCAAAACACAUGGAAUUCUGACAGUCAUCCAAACCAUCCAUAUGUCAACACUGGCAGCAGAUGCCACCAGUUCAGUGGCCAGCCUCUCAAACAAGUUUUUCUCAAACCUUCAUGAACAACUGAAAGCGUUUAGAGAAGUAAAAGGUUUCUCAGGGGAAGUGAAGCAAAAUGAGCUGUCUGCUUCACAAAUCGAGAUGCUGAAGGAAUUCAAGCAAGAUUUAGUUGACAAUAUCAGUGCAUUAUUAGCUGAUACUUUAGUAGAGGUAUUCCACCAGAAGUUCUCCAGGCACAUUGCUUCACAUGUCCAAGGCAAACUAAAUGGCAUCAUUGGCCACUAUGUAAAUAGGGGCCUAAAGAUGGACAGAACAGAGGAAAAACUCAGAGCUGGACAAAAUAACAGGUACAUUGCAUACAUGCCAGGAGACAUGAAUUCUAAACACAAACUUGCAGGGGAGUCUGGUAAACACUCACAGUCACAUGCCGAGAAGAUCAGGAACCCCACAAAGGCAGGUACCAUUCUGGAUAUCAGAGUCUUGUCAGAAACCACUGGCACCAAGGUGGUCAUCCUGACAGAGGACAGUCAUGGCAAGCUUACCAAAAUGCAGGAGCUGAACCCGAACACUAAGCCUGUCAGUCAAACUGUGACACUGAUUUACAGACCAAAGAGUGACCAAUACCCAGACGGCCAUUACGACGUGCUCAUCAAUAAUCAAACAGUUAGUUUAACCAGCCAAAACAAGAGCUGCCUGUUUCAUGCUUUAGCGAGAGGCUUGAAACCAGAGGCCAGUGAAGAGGAGGUCACUUUGGAAGCAAAUCGCCUCCGAUCUGUGGAGGCCGACGCCCUCCUGAGACACUCGGGCCAAUGGGAGCCUUUCGUCAAGCGCAAAGAGUGGACAGAAGCCAUCAGAGGAGGGGACUGGUACAUGGCAGAGGGAGCUGCACCAAAAAGCCUGGUGAAAAAGAAAAAGCAGGUAGAAAACAAAGAGGUGCUCAGUAAAGAGGUUGGAAAAGUAAAAAGGUACAAAAAAUUGAAAAAAUAUACAAUGAAACAUUCCGGUCUUGGAGAAUUCAUCAAUGCAGAUCACCAACCACCAGUGAGUAGUAUAUUGAAAGCCUGGAAGUUAAACCAGAAUAGCAAAUUAGCCACAGCCAUGCUUGAAGUGGCAACAGACUCAUUUCCUCUGGACACCAAUCUGAUUCCUAAAGUUAAAGAGCGUCAUGGCCUUAAACUUCCAACGGUUUAUGUGCCACAAGAAAUACAUCGUGAGUUUCCCAGUACAAAAACAGUUUCUGUAAGGAACGCCAUAGCUGAUGCUAUACAGAAAGAUGAUGUUGUGGCCACCUUCAAACUGACCAUCUUAAGUGCAAUGCCCAGAUUCAGGUUAAAUAGUAACAACAACAGGACUUUCAAAGACUUUCAGGACAACCCAGUGAGUAAAACCAGGCUGGAAAGUUUUGAAAAUAGUUUUCAGGAACAUUCUCUAACGAUGGUAAAGAAAUGGUACAAACUGCUUCAAGGCAAAGGUGUCAUGAACAAUACUGAUGUCAACACCCUUACUGACUGGAUCAACAACAAGGGCUACGAGAAUCAAAACGAUCCACACAGGAACCAAGUCUCCAAUCUCCUAUAAUGGAAAGCUAACAUGACAUUCAAUAUAAUAUCCUGCAAACACUGCAAAUAUUUUCUUUUCAUUUAUAAUUCUUGAUAUUGUUAAUUUUUGAAGAAUAGAGUUUUUGUAUACAAUUAACAACGACCGCCUCCGGUGCUGUUGACCAGCAGGGUGCCGUAAGGAAGCACAUAGCUGAUGCUAUACAGAAAGACGAUGUUGUGGCCACCUUCAAACUGACCAUCCUAAGUGCAAUGCCCAGAUUCAUGUUAAAUAGUGACAAUAACAAGACUUUCAAAGACUUUCAGAAGCCCAAAAUGAGUAAAACCAGGCUUAACGUUUAUAGAAAAAGUUUGGAGCACCACUCUAUAAAGAUGGUAAAGAAAUGGUACAAACUGCUUCACGGCAAAGAUGUCAUCAACGAUGACCAUGUCAACACCCUUACUGACUGGAUCAGGAACCAGGACUACAAGAAUCAAAACGAUCCACACAGGAACCAAGUCUCCAAUCUCCUAUAAUGGAAAGACUGUGUGACUGUAUAAAGAGACCUGCGGAGCUCGUCUAGCGUCAGUCUGAGUGAACCAUGUCUGAGAUCAACAGAGAAGUUCUUCUGGAGGCUCUCUCGGCCCUCAUUGGGGUCAGAGUAAAGCCUCACACUGAAAGAAGAUUCAAUGCAUUUAAUGCUGUAGCAGGAGGAGUAGGAGGAGGAGGAGGCCCUGUGGAACUGACCACUCGCAAUUAUCUCCAUAUUGUCUUUGGUACUGUACGCAGUCCAUUAGCAUUAUUUGGGGACCUGGCUGCGAACAGCUUGACUGCAGCAAAAGAGACAGAGCUGUUUGUGGAUUUGGAGAAGUUCUUUGACCCGCAGUUUGAUUACGAUUUCAGACGUGGCUCCGACUCUUCCAAGUGCUCCCGCGGUGGAGAACCGUACAAGCGGCCCUGGGGGUGGUACCGCUUCGCAUUGAAGGUUCUGAAUAAGUAUCCUGAUGGAAACACCUGGCUGGGCCCGGGUGGAUGGAGGAGCGAGUCUGCGUCCGGCGAGUGGCCAGUUUCCUUCCAUGGAACCAGCAUUGAGGGAGCUGAAGGCAUCGCUGAGACCCAUUACAAACCUGGAAGCGGUCAAGCUUAUGGCCGAGGGAUCUACUCAACUCCUGAUAUUCAUAUUGCAGAGCAGUACGUGAAAAAGUUCACAUCCAAGUCUGGAAAGACUUAUGACGUCGUCAUGCAGAACAGGAUCUACCCCGAGAAGAGGAAAAUCACAGCGCGAAAGGACUACUGGCUGAUCCCGAUUCCCAAGGGAACCUCAGAAGCGGAGGAGGUGAGGAUUGUGGAGAGCUCCAUCCGUCCUUACGGCAUCCUGCUUAAAAAGGUGUAAAUCACCACACCUGAAAAUGUUCCUCACUGUCUGAUCCUCAGUAUAGUGUGAGUCUCAUGAAUGGUGUGUAAUCACUUCUACAUGUUUGUACCAGAAAAAGAAUCAUUGUUUGGGGGGGACAGAGUUCAGUUCUGUGCUCAAAAUCAGUGAAAUGAUGUUUGAGAUCAGUGAAAUGAUUCAAAUUGUAUACUCCUUUCUUACUUAUGCUGUAAACUGAAUACGUUUAUAUGAUUUAAACACAAUGAGGAAAGAAGAAAGAAAAGCCUAACUCUGACUUCUGCUGAGGUUUGAUGUUCAGUUGUGCUGUGGAGAGAAAGUGAAUGUAAAACCAUAAAAUGAUCAAUAAAACUCUUCUUCUGUCUCUUCAUCUUGUUUACUAAGAUGCAGAUAUUCUUUCACUCUGAAUCAGUUCUUUGAUCUUGCCUUUGAUCUUGAUUUGCAGUGGGAGAUUUUUUGUUAUUGUUUGAGGAAAUAAAGCCUUGAUGUUUAGGUCAGUAAUUAUGAGUCACUGUGGAAGGAAAAAGACUGAAUAAUUAAAGACCUUUGCUAAUA